rnacentral:lncRNA from 1 species
GUAUAAGUAUAAUUUGCGCCUAAUCUCAAAAAAAUUUUGUAAUUUUUUUAAGAUAAGAAGAUGAGUGCAAAGUGCUUAAAGAAUAUUUGAAAAUUAAAAUGAAAAUCAAUAGCUGAUUAAUUAUGUGAUUCUUGUAAAGCAAUCGCCAAUAUUUGACCUUAUAAAAAAUAUCUGUUAUGCUAUUUUGCUUUCAUAUCAAUUCCAGAAGAUUUUUUCAGAAUUUCAGCUAUGGCUUCAGACCAUUGAUCAAUUGCUUUUCGAACCAUAGAACCAAUCCUACUUACCAUAAGAAAGAAGAAUAUUAGGAUGG